GAUGAACGCUGGCGGCGUGCCUAAUACAUGCAAGUCGAGCGAACGGACGAGAAGCUUGCUUCUCUGAUGUUAGCGGCGGACGGGUGAGUAACACAUGGAUAACCUACCUAUAAGACUGGGAUAACUUCGGGAAACCGGAGCUAAUACCGGAUAAUAUUUUGAACCGCAUGGUUCAAAAGUGAAAGACGGUCUUGCUGUCACUUAUAGAUGGAUCCGCGCUGCAUUAGCUAGUUGGUAAGGUAACGGCUUACCAAGGCAACGAUGCAUAGCCGACCUGAGAGGGUGAUCGGUCACACUGGAACUGAGACACGGUCCAGACUCCUACGGGAGGCAGCAGUAGGGAAUCUUCCGCAAUGGGCGAAAGCCUGACGGAGCAACGCCGCGUGAGUGAUGAAGGUCUUCGGAUCGUAAAACUCUGUUAUUAGGGAAGAACAUAUGUGUAAGUAACUGUGCACAUCUUGACGGUACCUAAUCAGAAAGCCACGGCUAACUACGUG
rnacentral:rRNA from 1 species